rnacentral:rRNA from 1 species
CCUACGGGAGGCAGCAGUGAGGAAUAUUGCGCAAUGGAGGCAACUCUGACGCAGCCAUGCCGCGUGCAGGAAGAAGGCGCUACGCGUUGUAAACUGCUUUUAUCCGGGAAGAAACCCCAGGACGUGUCCUGGGUUGACGGUACCGGAGGAAUAAGCACCGGCUAACUUCGUGCCAGCAGCCGCGGUAAUACGAAGGGUGCAAGCGUUAUCCGGAUUCAUUGGGUUUAAAGGGUGCGUAGGUGGGGCGAUAAGUCAGCGGUGAAAUCCUGCAGCUCAACUGCAGAAUUGCCGUUGAUACUGUCGCUCUUGAGUACGCUUGACGUGGGCGGAAUGUGCCGUGUAGCGGUGAAAUGCUUAGAUAUGGCACAGAACACCGAUAGUGAAGACAGCUCACGAAGGCGAAACUGACACUGAGGCACGAAAGCGUGGGGAUCGAACAGGAUUAGAUACCCUGGUAGUCCACGCCGUAAACGAUGAUCACUCGUGAUCGGCGAUAUACGGCCGGUCACCUAGCGAAAGCGUUAAGUGAUCCACCUGGGGAGUACGGCCGCAAGGCUGAAACUCAAAGGAAUUGACGG